GAUGAWGURGAGCAUUGAGCCUUGCUUGGUCUCUUUGAUGUAGUACUUUAUGUGGGCAUGGGUCUCAYWGGAUCCUYGUWAUGUCCCUGUUUAGUWAWUAUGCUCCUUGAAAUGACUGCUUGACACGCAUUGGCUUGUACCAGCGUUUCGGGUUUUGUCUAAAGAGGAAAGUUACCUGGU
rnacentral:misc_RNA from 1 species